GUGCGAGGACCCAACAACAUUCCAGACGUUAAGGCCACGCCCCGGGCCACUCCCCCCUCGUCGGGCUGCGGCCUCCCAGUCUUCUCGGCCACACCCCCUUCCCAACUACUUAAAAGGACACUCCAAAGCUCACGUUUCUCUCUUCUGUACCGGGGUGUUCCUGUCUGGGUGUCUCUACCCGCUUACGGUGGAAUGGUUGCGCCCUUCGGGUAGCCAAGCAAGCCGCCAAGCCUAAGUCAGGGCCAGGCUGCUUUCAGGAUCCUAUUUCGUGACCAGGGAUGGAACCUGGAUCCAGAACAGUGAAGUGUCAAGGCCUAACCACUGGACUGCCAGGGCCCGCAUCCAAAUCCAUCCCCAGUUCUCCUGGAAGAUGCAAAUCUGAUCCUGGCUAUAUGAAAUGAUUCAGCAGUUCCCCGGGACUUGGAGAACAAGCUCAGAUGCCUGGCUCUGGCUCCUGGUGGCUCACCCGCCCCGUUUCUCACACACCUUCCUACACUCCCUGGUGCUUCUGUCCCGAAGAAGGGGUCACCUGUGGUUCUCUGGCACCGUGGGCUUCCAUGCUUUUGCACCUGCGGUUCUUUCCGUCUGGAGGUCCUACCCCCUCCCGGAAGCGAUGACUCCUCAUCCUUUUAAAAUACAAUUCAAGUGCCGCCUCUUCCUCAAACCCUCCCGGGUCCCAGCUGGACUGA